rnacentral:rRNA from 1 species
CAGUAUCCGCGGUAAUACGUAGGGGGCGAGCGUUGUCCGAAGUUACUGGGCGUAAAGAGCGCGUAGGCGGGUCUUUAAGUGAGGGGUGAAAGGUUCAGGGCUCAACCCGGACACUGCCUUUCAUACUGGAGACCUUGAGUGUGGGAGAGGCGAGUGGAAUGGUCGGUGUAGCGGUGAAAUGCGUAGAUAUCGAUCGGAACACCCAUGGCGAAGGCAGCUCGCUGGCCUAUAACUGACGCUGAGGCGCGAAAGCGUGGGGAGCAAACAGGAUUAGAUACCCGAGUAGUCCCUGUCUCUUAUA